AGAAUUGCCUGUCGUGCUACGUGUGUUUGCUUCACGCAACGACAGCACGGGUAAGUCCCUGGCACCGCUUCGUUCUUUCCAAUUUGUUGAUCGAUAGAAAGGAUAGGAGCAGGUCGUUCUUCUAAAGUCUGCUAAAUCCGACUCCUACGCAUCUUCCAGCUCCGGCGCCGACAAAUCUCCCGAUUCUAAGGAUCCUUGGUGUUUCAAUUUCUAUGCGUACAAGGCCACAUUCAGACAAAGUGGCUUUUGGUUUGCUGCUACUGAAGUUCAGAUCAGUUUUCUAGGGGAAAGCUAAUAGAUGCAUACCGAUUUUUACACAAAGAGAAGGACAUGGAGCGUGGCUUCUCCUGGUCAGGAAAUCCCAUUGGAAAGUAAGACCAUAUGGUUCAUGCACAUAGCAACUUGCCGUUGAAAUUACUCUUGUGUUGGUCGAGUUGGAAGUGAUGUAGAAUCAUCACAUCUGAAUUUUACACCACAUAAUAAACAUACCGGGUGGCUUUCUGGCCGGUAUAGAGGCAAAAGGAUGAGGAUAGACUACUUCAUAGCUGCAGAGCAACUCAAAGAUAGGAUUGUUUCACGUGAGAUGCACGGGCAAGGGAUGAAUUACAAGGUUUGCCGACUGCGGUGCAGAAGGACUACUUUAGACUUCUACAUUAUCAAGAGUUGCAUUUCGAUGAUUGUGGAGAUCGUGUUUCUCAGUUGUUACAUGUUGAAUUAGCUGCCCCAGCUUCACAGUUUCAAAACAAUGAUAUUCUAGAAGACCUCAUGAUUCAAAUUUGUGUAUAGUAAUUAGCUAGAGUACCAGAUUUUGGAUCAUGUAAAACAAUGUUUGAUGUGUAUAUACAACGCAUUUAUAUGGUGUA